ensembl:snRNA U6 U6 spliceosomal RNA
GUACUUGCUUUGGCAGCACAAUACUAAAACUGGAACGAUACAGAGAAGAUUAGCAGGCCCCUGUGCAAGGAUGACACACAAAUUCAUGAAGUAUUUUAUAUUAAA